rnacentral:rRNA from 1 species
UACGUAGGUGGCAAGCGUUGUCCGGAUUUACUGGGCGUAAAGAGCGCGCAGGCGGUCGUUCAAGUCGCGUGUGAAAGCCCCCGGCUCAACUGGGGAGGGUCACGCGAUACUGAUCGACUCGAAGGCAGGAGAGGGUAGUGGAAUUCCCGGUGUAGUGGGUGAAAUGCGUAGAUAUCGGGGAGGAACACCAGUGGCGAAGGCGACUACCUGGCCUGUUUCUUGACGCUGAGGCGCGAAAGCUAGGGGAGCAAACGGGG